AUUUAAUAACAUUCAUUGUCAUUGCGAUCGUAGCGAUUAUUAUAAUAAUAAUUAUUACUAUAAGUACUAUAAAACAUUAUAAGAAGAAUAAGGUGAAAGAGGAUAAAAUAACUUUAAACGGUAAUUCAGUGGAAACAAGAUGGGAGCUUAAAUGUUCACCUGAAACAUACUCAAAUCCGGCUGAUGUUAUAUACAACACGAACAACGCGAGUGCCGUCUACAGCAGUCCGUGCAAGGAAGUUAUGUACACGACACCCAUACCAAAAAACUUACGAGUUGUAAAUAAAAUUGAAUAUGAAAAUUUAAGAACCAAACAUCAAAUAUAUCAUAACGAUGUCAACGUUAAAACAAACUACGAAAACUCGAACAAUUACAACACAACAUACGCCAAUUUAAAUAAUAAGAAUUUCAAUAAUUAUUCAAAUACAUUAUGCAACGGAAAUAUUGGAUCAGAUAUGUACAGUUAUAUUGUAGUCGAUAAUUAAUUAGUGAACUGUUAAAUCUGUAUUAAUAAAUGAG